GAUUGAUUGAAAGCAGAUGAAUUUAAUCUAAAGCACAGCUGUAUCUGGUUGACCAUCUGAAGUUUUCUGGCUAUUCCCAGUGUUGAUUUUGGUCCAGAUGUAGCCGUCUACUCAUCUUGUUUUUGACUGACCAGUAUUUUCAGCAGAAUGCACUGACACCAAAAUCUGGGAGAGGAGAUGGAGCAGGUGUCCUUCUCAAAAACUUGGUGAGCGGUGCAACUUUUUGGUUUUUUCCAGUUGUUGUCCUGUUCCUUGGUGUCACUUCAGAACUAACCUAGUUUAAGUUUUGUGCAACUAAGACACGGAGGAUGAUCCUUAAAUAUGGAGGCCCAUCUGUUCUACAGUAUGCCAAAGUCACACCUUUAUAACUGAACCAGUAGAAUGAGAUCAGUUCGUGUCAUUUUAAACAAUCAAAUUUAAGGCUUUUUACACUGGCUUUAAGGACUGCCACUGAAAUCACACCCUUACCUCAAAACACUUGUUCAAGAAAUGUUACUGCAGAGAAGGAGCAUUUUACUUGUAAAAGUGUACCAUGUUCCUCCUCAGUAAUGCAAUCACAGCAGAUGUUCACUACCUUAAUGCCUAUUUUUGUUACUUUCUGGAGGUAUGCAAGUAAUUUGCUUUGUAUAACACCUUAUUUGCUGUUUUUUUAUUUAUGCCUUCACCUUCUUGUAUUCCAGUUUAAGACUUGUAUGUCCUUUGUCACAGUAACCUUUUUGUAUUUAUCCCCGCUCUUGUCUGUAAUUUUUUUUUUUUCCAAGCCUAUUUUUUUUCUUUUUUUUCUUUUUUAUACUUUCAUUUAUGCUCUUUGUAUUAUUGGCCAUUAUGUUUUAUGGCCCUGUACCCACUGACUUGACUUAUGCCCUUUUCUAUUUUUAACUGUUGCAUUUUUUAAAAGUGUACUGUAUAAAUCAUCUUGUCUUUACUGUUAUUGUCUAUAUGCUGCAACUAUUUAUGCACUUGUUUUCAUUCUCUGCCUUCUGUAUAUUAGCAGUAAUGAUUGUCUUACUAAGCCCUUUUUAUUUUGAUUUUGUGAUUCUCUAUGACCUCUGUGCACAUUUGUAUUUGUGUCUGAUGUAAUUUCAUUUAGCCUGUUUGGAUUUAUUUAUAAUAAUUUAUAAUAUACCUAUUUCUUUUCUUUUCUUUUUUUCUUUUCUUCUUUAUUUCCUCUUAUACCCUUGUUUUUAUGCCUAUUUGUCUAAAUUUAGUUAUGCAUUUUCAAUUUUUUUUUUGUCCCUUUGUACUUUAUAGCUUUUUAGUGUUAAUGCCUUGCAUUGUCUUUGUUAACAAGGGCAGCAAAAAAAUUAAAAUGAUUGGUUUAUGCUCCUGUGUUUUUUUUUUUUUUUUUUUUUUUUUUUAAAUAUACCCUUCACUUGUGUCUUUGUCUGCUGUGUAUGCUCUUUCCUAUAUUGUAAAGCUUUCUAUGAGAGUGGCUAUUUGUGAACUGACUUGUAUGUAUUUUGUUAGGCCUUGGUUUUGUAUUUAUGCUUUCAUUUUGAAGUAUCUUUUAAGGUUCCCUGUCUUGUUGCAGUGUUAAUUUUUAAAGUCUGUUAAACUUUUUCUUUUUCUUCCAACUAACAUCUUAAUUUAUUUACCUUUAUUCUUGUGCCCAUAGGCUCCUUUGUAUUAUUUGUAAUUUUACAUAAUUCAAAUGUUCAAAAUGACUUAUGUAAAAUUAAGUAAUUGUCAGGUUUUUAUUUUAAUUUGGUCCCAGUUCCUGUAAAUUUCCUGUCUUAGUGUCUGUUCUCUUGAUAAGUUUCUUGUAUGUUUGUUAACAUGGCAACCUAUUGUAUCCACCUGUUUUAUGUUGACUCGGUGUCUUUAUAUAUGUACUCCAUUUAUUUCCUUGUCUGUUUUUCCAUCUAAUUAAUUUUGUUCUUUCCCUGAGUAUUUGUCACUUUUGAUUUAUUCAAGUUUUACUGCUGCAACUA